rnacentral:rRNA from 1 species
UGGGGAAUAUUGGACAAUGGGCGAAAGCCUGAUCCAGCAAUGCCGCGUGAGUGAUGAAGGCCUUAGGGUUGUAAAGCUCUUUUACCCGGGAUGAUAAUGACAGUACCGGGAGAAUAAGCUCCGGCUAACUCCGUGCCAGCAGCCGCGGUAAUACGGAGGGAGCUAGCGUUAUUCGGAAUUACUGGGCGUAAAGCGCACGUAGGCGGCUUUGUAAGUUAGAGGUGAAAGCCUGGAGCUCAACUCCAGAAUUGCCUUUAAGACUGCAUCGCUUGAAUCCAGGAGAGGUGAGUGGAAUUCCGAGUGUAGAGGUGAAAUUCGUAGAUAUUCGGAAGAACACCAGUGGCGAAGGCGGCUCACUGGACUGGUAUUGACGCUGAGGUGCGAAAGCGUGGGGAGCAAA